rnacentral:misc_RNA from 1 species
AAUCCUCAAAACCUUUGCUCUUUGAUUGGGGAAAGGCUUUUGGACUUGGAGGAUCAAUGCUCGCCCUUACUUUUUGAAGGCGAGCUCCUCUCAAAUAAAUUAGUGGGGGUUUGCUUUGCUGAUCCUUGACGGUGAUAAGACAUCUCUACGUUUUGGAUUUGGUGACCGUCCCUUGCUUCUAACCGUCCUAUGGACAAUGAUGGGUGCACCGGUCACCACCUUAUAUCGGUGGGAGGCUGGACCCACAAAAAGGA